CCUUUUCACAAGAUGGCGCCGAAAGCGAAGAAGGAAGCUCCUGCCCCUCCUACAGCUGAAGCCAAAGUGAAGGCUUCGAAGGCCAAGAAGGCAGUGUUGAAAGGUGUCCACAACCACAAAAAAAGAAAAAGAAAAAAAGAAAGAUCUGCCCGUCACCCACCUUCCAGCAGCCCAAGACACUGCGACUCCGGAGGCAGCCCAGAUAUCCUCGGAAGAGCGCCCCCAGGAGAAACAAGCUUAACCACUACACUAUCAAAUUUCCGCUGACCACUGAGUCGGCCAUGAAGAAGACAGAAGACAACAGCACGCUUGUGUUCACUGUGGAUGUUAAAGCCAACAAGCACCAGAUCAAACAGGCUGUGAAGAAGCUCUGUGACAUCGAUGUGGCCAAGGUCAACACCUGAUUCGGCCUGAUGGAGAGAAGGCAUAUAUUCAACUGCCUCCUGAUUACGAUGCUUUGGAUGUUGCCAAACUUUCAUCAUAUCAACAAGCGUUUACUAAACAUCUAUGAUGUACCAAGCCCUGUGCUGUACAAUGGAACUGUCUCACAUCAGUAUUCAUUUAAAAAUAGUAUUUAUGAAAAUUUUUCAGAGGCAGUUGAAUCCAAACAACAGGAUUUCAUUCCCUGUGCUGAGCCUCCUUUCAGUUUCCUCUUCCUACCUAUGUCUCAGCUGAAAACUUAAGACCACUCACCCUACAGCCAAUGGUUCCACCUUCUGCAGCUGUCGUCUAAAUUCCAAAUGCAGCCAUGUCAAGGCACCUGCACAUGGCAGCUGUAAAAGAAACACUGGCACUUUACUGCUGAGAGGAAAGGUAGUGCCAUUUUUUGAGCAUCGGUUCCCUCCCAGAGAGGAUGACAGCUGGCAACUCUGUCCUACAGAAAAUAGGAAAGCAAGAGAAACAUAUACAGAAAUGCCUACAUAUGAUGUCACUCGGUAGCCACAGCCCUAAAAGUAUCCCAGAAAGAGGGCAAAUUAGCUGUAAAGCUAAAGCAAAAAAUUUUCCUGAACAGUAUUUGGUUACAAGGACAAAUAAAGUUCAUUUAUAUUCAUUGCUUAGUG
ensembl:lncRNA novel transcript